ensembl:snRNA U6 U6 spliceosomal RNA
AUGCUCACUUCAGCAGCACAUACACUAAAAUUGGAGCGAUACCAAGAAGAUUAGCAUGGCUGCUGCAGAAGGAUAGAUAACAUACAAAUUCAUGAAGUGUUCCAUAUUUUA